rnacentral:rRNA from 1 species
AACGAACGCUGGCGGCAUGCCUAACACAUGCAAGUCGAACGAGACCUUCGGGUCUAGUGGCGCACGGGUGCGUAACGCGUGGGAACCUGCCCUUAGGUUCGGAAUAACUCCCCGAAAGGGGUGCUAAUACCGGAUAAUGUCUUCGGACCAAAGAUUUAUCGCCUUUGGAUGGGCCCGCGUUGGAUUAGCUAGUUGGUAGGGUAAAAGCCUACCAAGGCGACGAUCCAUAGCUAGUCUGAGAGGAUGAUCAGCCACACUGGGACUGAGACACGGCCCAGACUCCUACGGGAGGCAGCAGUGGGGAAUAUUGGACAAUGGGCGAAAGCCUGAUCCAGCAAUGCCGCGUGAGUGAUGAAGGCCUUAGGGUUGUAGAGCUCUUUUACCCGGGAUGAUAAUGACAGUACCGGGAGAAUAAGCUCCGGCUAACUCCGUG